AGAGUUUGAUCCUGGCUCAGGAUGAACGCUAGCUACAGGCUUAACACAUGCAAGUCGAGGGGCAGCAUUAUCGAAGCUUGCUUGAUAGAUGGCGACCGGCGCACGGGUGAGUAACGCGUAUCCAACCUUUCCCCUUUAGUAGGGCAUAGCCCGUAGAAAUGCGGAUUAAUACCCUAUGUUGUAUUAUGAGGACAUCUGAAAGAUACCAAAGGUUUACCGCUAAGGGAUGGGGAUGCGUCUGAUUAGGUUGUUGGCGGGGUAACGGCCCACCAAGCCUGCGAUCAGUAGGGGUUCUGAGAGGAAGGUCCCCCACAUUGGAACUGAGACACGGUCCAAACUCCUACGGGAGGCAGCAGUGAGGAAUAUUGGUCAAUGGGCGAGAGCCUGAACCAGCCAAGUAGCGUGCAGGAUGACGGCCCUAUGGGUUGUAAACUGCUUUUAUACAGGGAUAAAGUCGGGGACGUGUCCCCGUUUGUAGGUACUGUAUGAAUAAGGACCGGCUAAUUCCGUGCCAGCAGCCGCGGUAAUACGGAAGGUCCGGGCGUUAUCCGGAUUUAUUGGGUUUAAAGGGAGCGCAGGCGGGGAGGUAAGCGUGACGUGAAAUGUAGCCGCUCAACGGCUGAACUGCGUCGCGAACUGUCUCUCUUGAGUGAGUACGACGUCAGCGGAAUUUGUGGUGUAGCGGUGAAAUGCUUAGAUA
rnacentral:rRNA from 1 species